GCCUACACAUGCAAGUCGAGCGGUAACAGGAAUUAGCUUGCUAAUUUGCUGACGAGCGGCGGACGGGUGAGUAAUGCCUGGGAAUAUGCCUUGAUGUGGGGGAUAACUAUUGGAAACGAUAGCUAAUACCGCAUAAUGCCUACGGGCCAAAGAGGGGGAUCUUCGGACCUCUCGCGUCAAGAUUAGCCCAGGUGGGAUUAGCUAGUUGGUGGGGUAAUGGCUCACCAAGGCGACGAUCCCUAGCUGGUUUGAGAGGAUGAUCAGCCACACUGGAACUGAGACACGGUCCAGACUCCUACGGGAGGCAGCAGUGGGGAAUAUUGCACAAUGGGGGAAACCCUGAUGCAGCCAUGCCGCGUGUAUGAAGAAGGCCUUCGGGUUGUAAAGUACUUUCAGUUGUGAGGAAGGCGGUAACGUUAAUAGCGUUACCGUUUGACGUAGCAACAGAAGAAGC
rnacentral:rRNA from 1 species